rnacentral:lncRNA from 1 species
UGGCCGAUUUGCUGCUUAUUUAAUUUCUUGGAUUACCAUGGAAUUUACAGUUACCAAUUCCAACAAAAUUAUCUAUCUUCUUGUUUUAUUGUGUUGUUUAAAAUGCAAUGAAAUUAUCUAUUGUAUAGGAUAUGCCGGAACCGUGAGAAUUAGGAUUUUUGCUCGAUAAUAGAUUCUGCAGAAAUUAAGGAUUGUUCUUGAAUAAAGACGAUGGAGUUUGGGGCUGAUAUUAGAGAUAAUAUUGAAUAUCAUGAUAGAAUCCUAGAUAAAUAUAAAUUAGUUAGCUCUCCUACAAG